AUGUUGCAGUUUAAGCGACACGCUCCGCCGGUGAACCACGCGGCGCUGACCGCACUUGUGGAUCGUUGGAGGCUGGAGACUCACUCGUUCCACCUUCCAUGUGGGGAGAUGACGAUGGCCCUACAGGACAUGGCUAUGAUAAGCGGCUUUUCUAUCAACGGACAAGCUGUUACCGGUCGUGUCAGCGUCGGUAAUUGGCGAGAACGGACUGGCAUUUUAAUUGGUGUUCAGCUCGACGACCCUCAGGAAGGCAAGGCCGAUACCGCAAGAGUGAGGCAUUCUUGGCUAAAACUGGUCAAAGGAAACACCAAUCCGUGCCCUCAGGGUGCCAAUGACGUGGUUGUGCAGCAGUACACACGGGCCUAUCUUUGGUAUGUACUAACCAAGGUAGUCUUCUCAGAUGCAACCGGGAACUCAGACCUCUGGAUGUUCCUGGAGUUACUCAAUAACUGGGAUACCCAGUAUAGCUGGGGUUCGGCCGCACUAGCAUAUUUGUAUCGUCAGGUAAGAGAUAUUUGCAACCAUUUAUCUUGCAUUUGUCAUGCGCCUCCAUAUCUAACAUGUUUGUUUGAUUGCAGCUUGACUUGGCGUGUCGCAGGAAGGGAGAUACAUCCUCAUUGGCUGGGUUUGUUUGGAGCCUAUCCGUGUGGAUGUGGGAGCGGAUCCCGGUUGGACGACCCGAUUUUAAGAACCCCAACAUGCCAAACCCACGGGGUAAUCAUGACGGGGUGUAUGAUGAUGAUCCAUAUCGGCGCCCUACGCUUGCUUACUAUUGGGAACAAGUGA
rnacentral:rRNA from 1 species